GAUGAACGCUAGCGGCAGGCUUAAUACAUGCAAGUCAAGGGGGUAGCAAUACAACCGGCGCACGGGUGAGUAACGCGUACACAACAUACCAUAUACUGGAGUAUAGCUUUGGGAAACUGAAGGUAAUCCUCCAUAACAUUGCGAGAGGGCAUCUGAUUGCAAUUAAAGUUUCGGCGGUAUAUGAUUGGUGUGCGUUUGAUUAGCUAGUUGGUAGGGUAACGGCCUACCAAGGCGACGAUCAAUAGCUGGCGUGAGAGCGCGACCAGCCACACUGGAACUGAGACACGGUCCAGACUCCUACGGGAGGCAGCAGUAGGGAAUAUUGGACAAUGGAGGAAACUCUGAUCCAGCCAUGCCGCGUGAUAGAUGAAGGCCCUCUGGGUUGUAAAUAUCUUUUUAUCUGGGAAGAAACACUCCUAUUCUUAGGAACUUGACGGUACCAGAGGAAUAAGCACCGGCUAACUCCGUGCCAGCAGCCGCGGUAAAGUA
rnacentral:rRNA from 1 species